rnacentral:rRNA from 1 species
UACCAGCACCCCGAGUGGUCGGGACGUUUAUUGGGCCUAAAGCAUCCGUAGCCGGUUCUACAAGUCUUCCGUUAAAUCCACCUGCUUAACAGAUGGGCUGCGGAAGAUACUAUAGAGCUAGGAGGCGGGAGAGGCAAGCGGUACUCGAUGGGUAGGGGUAAAAUCCGUUGAUCCAUUGAAGACCACCAGUGGCGAAGGUGGCUUGCCGGAACGCGCUCGACGGUGAGGGAUGAAAGCUGGGGGAGCAAACCGG